CUUUGGGCUGUAACUAACAAAAGACCAAAUUUUAUAAGGUUUAAAAGAUAAGACCAUUUUUUUUUAUCUCAUCCAUUAGGGAAGAAGUCUUUGUAUAUAGCAAUACCAAGUUACUCAAUGGUUAAUUCAGUUGUUAUGGGACAACAUCAAGGAGGUUUCCAUUUGUUAAUCUUCAAGUCCAUCAUUGUCAAUUCACCUUAAAUUCUUGACUCUUUCCUCUUCAAGGGUGUUUCUGAAAGCAAAAGCUCUGUGUCCACACUACAUUAAGUAAACAACAGCCCUCUUACUGUGGUCUGACUGUUUAUGUCCCCCCAAAAUUUAUAUAUUGAAAUCUAAUCACCACAGUGAUAGAAUGAGGUCAUAGAUAGGAUGAGGUCAUGAGGGUGGAACCCUCAUGGUUGGGCUUAUUUCCAUACAAAAGACAUAUAGAGAGCUACCUAAUCUCUUCAAUGGUGUAAGGACAGAGUGAGAAGGUGCCAUCUAUGAGCCAGGAAACAGGCUCUCGUCAGACACCAAUGCAGCCAGUGACUUGCUCUUGAACUUCCCAGCCUCCAGAACUCCUUAACUACAGCUUUGAAUGGACAAGAGACUGAUUUCAGUAAAUAUCUCCAGGUCAGAAGAACCAGCAACCAUCGACUAGCUCUGAUUUCAUCAAGGUUUGUUGAACUUGACAAGACAAAGUUAAAUUCAUUUGGAAGACCAAAGAGCCACAAAUCACUUUGUAUGAAAAAGACAGAUGGAAUUUUCAUCUUCGGUACAUGAGUUCUAAAUUGUAGAUAUGUCUAGAGCAACUCAACCCUAGCACCAUGACUACUUGACACAUGAACUGAAGAGGCUGCCUGCAACAGAAG
rnacentral:lncRNA from 13 species